rnacentral:rRNA from 1 species
GAUGAACGCUAGCGGCAGGCUUAACACAUGCAAGUCGAACGGUAACAUAUCUUGCUUGCAAGAUGAUGACGAGUGGCGGACGGGUGCGUAACGCGUAUGCAACCUACCUUUAACUGGGUGAUAGCCAGAAAGAAAUUCUGAUUAAUACCCCAUAACAUAUAUUCUUCGCAUGUUGAAUAUAUCAAAGCUUUGGCGGUUAAAGAUGGGCAUGCGUGACAUUAGUUAGUUGGUAAGGUAACGGCUUACCAAGGCUGCGAUGUCUAGGGGGUCUGAGAGGAUUAUCCCCCACACUGGUACUGAGACACGGACCAG